AAUUAACCGGAGCAAUAUAUUUCAAAAUGUCAAAUUUAGCAAUCUGUGAGAAAAGAGAAAAAAAUGACAAGAUGCGAAUCUUAAGUGUAUGUACUAACACCAGGUACAUCGUUUAAAAGUUAAGGCUUAAAAACUGUACAUAAUCCUACGAAAUCAUCCGUAUAAACCUAUACUAGUAUACUAAGUGCGGGACGAACUGUAGAAAGGAC
rnacentral:lncRNA from 1 species